GUAGGGGGCAAGCGUUAUCCGGAUUUACUGGGUGUAAAGGGAGCGUAGACGGUUUUGCAAGUCUGAAGUGAAAGCCCGGGGCUUAACCCCGGGACUGCUUUGGAAACUGUAGGACUAGAGUGCAGGAGAGGUAAGUGGAAUUCCUAGUGUAGCGGUGGAAUGCGUAGAUAUUAGGAGGAACAUCAGAGGCGAAGGCGACUUACUGGACUGUAACUGACGUUGAGGCUCGAAAGCGUGGGGAGCAAACAGGAUUAGAUACCCUGGUAGUCCACGCCGUAAACGAUGAUUACUAGGUGUCGGGGGACCAAGGUCCUUCGGUGCCGCCGCAAACGCAAUAAGUAAUCCACCUGGGGAGU
rnacentral:rRNA from 1 species